rnacentral:lncRNA from 1 species
CCCAACCCAGCUGUUACCCCAUUGGGACAGUGUCCAUGGGGUGUGGAGCUUGCGGCAGGGGCUGGGGGAUUUGCAGCAGGACCCGUGGGGGUUGCGGCAGGCGCUGGGGGGUUUGCAGUAGUGGCUGGGGGGUUUGCAGCAGGACCCGUGGGGUUUGCAGUAGGGGCUGGGGGGUUUGCAGCGGGGGCUGGAGUCUCAGCUGCAGGGGCUUCUGGGAGGCUC